rnacentral:misc_RNA from 1 species
GAUGAAGAACGCAGCGAAAUGCGAUAAGUAAUGUGAAUUGCAGAAUUCAGUGAAUCAUCGAAUCUUUGAACGCACAUUGCGCCCAUUAGUAUUCUAGUGGGCAUGCCUGUUUGAGCGUCAUUUCAACCCUUAAGCCUAGCUUAGUAUUGGGAAUCGACUUUACUGUCGUUCCUCAAAUUCAACGGCGGAUUUAUAGCAAUCUCUGAACGUAGUAAUUUUUUUCCUCGUUUUUGAAAUACUAUAAACCUCAGCCGCUAAACCCCCAAUUUUUCUAUGGUUGACCUCGGAUCAGGUAGGAAUACCCGCUGAACUUAAGCAUAUCAAUAAGCGGAGGA